CCAACCGAGGAGCGCUGCAACGGAUUCCUUCCGUCAGGCUCGGCUUUCGAAAACUGCGCUUACCUGUA
rnacentral:ncRNA from 2 species